rnacentral:lncRNA from 1 species
UGAUUGAAUCCUACUUCUCAAAAAAAAAAAAAAAAUCUCCCCUCCUCUGACUCAUUCCCAAAACCUGUUCUAGCUCUACUUUAAAACACAUUUUCUACCUGUAUUUAAAACAACUCCGAAGCAUAGGUGAUGUUUCUCUGCCACUACAUUCGGGGUUUCCUGCUCUGCACAGCGCAUUCCCGCAGGCAGCUCUCGGCGGGACAAGUUGCUGGGAGGAUUUUAGCUCGAUGUCAACAUCCGUCCGUGCCUCGGGGCUCAGCGUCCCGAUCUCGCCCGCUCCCAGCGGCCAGGAGCAGCGAGAUAACAGAUGCGUGAGGAAACGAGACAAACGCAACGACCUCACAGGACGGCGGGGACACCAGGCGCGCACCGCGGUGCUCCUGGCACGAUCUCUCCUAGUCAGUCCCAAAUUAGAGCAUGGGGGCAAAAGGGAAGAUUCGGCAGCGGAGACCAAAGCGGGAACAGCCAGGACACAGCGGGUGUGACCCGCGGAGUGACAUUGGAGACUCUCUCCAACCAGACCAUGCCCAGCACUCAUUGCAAACCAGGAGGGGCUGGGGCUGCUGGGACCAGAAGCAAGAGACUUGCUGCAUUCCUUCCCAUGCUGUCCCAGCCCUGGCUCCCCAGGCAGCACAGUGAAACCUCCCAGGGAUGCUGAAAGGAAGGAACCAGGCUGGAUCUGCAAACCCUCCUGGACAUGGAGGCUCUCCAGCCUUGUCUUUCCCUUGAAGAGCAGCCCCUCUAAGCAAUGGGAUUUGAGGCUUUACCCAAAUUUAGUUGAGUUAUCAGGACAUCACUCUGACAAGACUCUCCAUGCUGGGUUACAAAUGCAAACAGAAUACAGUGAUGUGUGCAAGAUGAAAAUCAUCAGCAAGGGGC